rnacentral:rRNA from 1 species
GACGUAGGGCGCGAGCGUUGUCCGGAUUUAUUGGGCGUAAAGAGCUCGUAGGCGGCUUGUCGCGUCGUCCGUGAAAACCUGCAGCUCAACUGCAGGCUUGCGGUCGAUACGGGCAGGCUGGAGUUCGGUAGGGGAGACUGGAAUUCCUGGUGUAGCGGUGAAAUGCGCAGAUAUCAGGAGGAACACCGGUGGCGAAGGCGGCAUCCUGGACCGGCAUUGACGCUGAGGCGCGAAAGCCAGGGGAGCAAACGGGG